rnacentral:rRNA from 1 species
AUACGGAGGGUGCAAGCGUUAUCCGGAUUCAUUGGGUUUAAAGGGUGCGCAGGCGGAUAUUUAAGUCAGUGGUGAAAUCCCGGGGCUCAACCUCGGAACUGCCAUUGAUACUGAAUAUCUGGAAUACGGUUGAAGUGGGCGGAAUGUAGCAUGUAGCGGUGAAAUGCAUAGAGAUGCUACAGAACACCGAUCGCGAAGGCAGCUCACUAAGCCGAUAUUGACGCUCAGGCACGAAAGCGUGGGGAGCGAACAGGAUUAGAUACCCCUGUAGUCC